rnacentral:lncRNA from 10 species
AGACGGGCGCAGAAAGGGGUCUGAGACGUGGCUGAAGGCAGCAGGACCAGACAGGAUGGGGCCUCAGGGCCGUGGUUCUGAGCUUCAUUCCAACAGCAGGAAAAGGGAGGCAGCAUCCCGCCGGCUCCCAUGGGAGCAGACUGCCCUCAGGCCCCAGCGGAGGGAGGGAGAACAGACAGAACAAUUUUGGCCCCUGGACAUGGUGGCGGCAGGGGAGGUGGGCUGUGGCCUUCCAAGAAGAGGAGGAGACACCAGAGGUGGGCGCAGCAAGGCCGGGAGAAGGUUUCAUGAGAAACCAGCUCUGACACUGGUGGCACCUUGAUCUUGGACUUCCAGGCUCCAGAGCUGUGAGAAAA